rnacentral:misc_RNA from 1 species
GUAAGAAAAUUUGGCCAACUCCCUCUCUCACCCAAGAUAAGAAGAACAGGAAAAGAAGAAAGAGAAAAUCUUGUGCUGCUGAAGAACUGGUUUAAAAAGGGUGUUGGCCUUGCCUGAUAUCAGAACUGGUUUACAAAGUGUGUCAGUACGCAAAAUUUCAAUGCAGACCCAUGAGUAGGGCUGGAUCAUCUAUGUCUCUGUUAGUAGAGGAAUAAUAGAUGCAUCAAGUGCUAGUUAUUAUGAUUGCAACUUCUGUUAGACCUUGGAGAAUUAACAGCUUUUCUAUUAGUUUAUUUUUUUUCCCUUAAUCUGAUAAUAACAUAUUUAUUGCAAAAAGUGCUAUGAUAAUAUGAGAAUACAAGGGGAAAAGGAAAGGAAGAA